rnacentral:rRNA from 1 species
UACGUAGGGCGCAAGCGUUGUCUGGAAUUAUUGGGCCGUAAAGAGCUCGUAGGCGGUCUGUUGCGUCUGCCCGUGAAAACCCGAGGCUUAACCUCGGGCCUGCGGUGGAUACGGGCAGACUAGAGGCAGGUAGGGGAGAAUGGAAUUCCCGGUGUAGCGGUGAAAUGCGCAGAUAUCGGGAGGAACACCGGUGGCGAAGGCGGUUCUCUGGGUCUGACCUGACGCUGAG